GAUCAUGGCUCAGGAUGAACGCUAGCGACAGGCUAACACAUGCAAGUCGAGGGGCAGCAUAAAAGUAGCAAUACUUGGUGGCGACCGGCGCACGGGUGAGUAACGCGUAUGCAACCUACCUAUCAGAGGGGAAUAACCCGGCGAAAGUCGGACUAAUACCGCAUAAAACAGGGACACCGCAUGGUGAUAUUUGUUAAAGAAAUUCGCUGAUAGAUGGGCAUGCGUUCCAUUAGGUAGUUGGUGAGGUAACGGCUCACCAAGCCGACGAUGGAUAGGGGAACUGAGAGGUUGGUCCCCCACACUGGUACUGAGACACGGACCAGACUCCUACGGGAGGCAGCAGUGAGGAAUAUUGGUCAAUGGGCGAGAGCCUGAACCAGCCAAGUCGCGUGAAGGAAGAAGGAUCUAUGGUUCGUAAACUUCUUUUGCAGGGGAAUAAAGUGCAGGACGUGUCCUGUUUUGUAUGUACCCUGAGAAUAAGGAUCGGCUAACUCCGUGCCAGCCGCGGC
rnacentral:rRNA from 1 species